AUUCCAGCUCCAAUAGCGUAUAUUAAAGUUGUUGCAGUUAAAAAGCUCGUAGUUGAACUUCGGAACCGGUCGAUUGGUCCGUCCUCUGGAUUGUGUACUGAUCGAUCUGUUCUUCUUCGCGAAGACCGCGUGUGCCCUUAACUGGGUGUGCACGGGAUUCACGACGUUUACUUUGAAAAAAUUAGAGUGUUCAAAGCAGGCAUUCGCUUGAAUAUCUCAGCAUGGAAUAAUAGAAUAGGACUUUGGUCUUAUUUUGUUGGUUUCCGAGACCGAAGUAAUGAUUAAUAGGGACAGUUGGGGGCAUUCGUAUUUCAUUGUCAGAGGUGAAAUUCUUGGAUUUAUGAAGGACGAACUUCUGCGAGAGCAUUUGCCAAGGAUGUUUUCAUUA
rnacentral:rRNA from 1 species